GAUGAACGCUAGCGGCAGGCUUAACACAUGCAAGUCGAGGGGUAGAGGAAGCUUGCUUCCUUGAGACCGGCGCACGGGUGCGUAACGCGUAUACAAUCUACCUUUUACAGAGGGAUAGCCCCAGAGAAAUUUGGAUUAAUACCUCAUAGUAUUUUCGGAUCGCAUGAUUUGAUUAUUAAAGUUCCAACGGUAAAAGAUGAGUAUGCGUCCCAUUAGCUAGAUGGUAAGGUAACGGCUUACCAUGGCAAUGAUGGGUAGGGGUCCUGAGAGGGAGAUCCCCCACACUGGUACUGAGACACGGACCAGACUCCUACGGGAGGCAGCAGUGAGGAAUAUUGGACAAUGGGCGCAAGCCUGAUCCAGCCAUGCCGCGUGCAGGAAUAAGGUCCUAUGGAUUGUAAACUGCUUUUAAUACCAGGAAGAAACACACCCUCGUGAGGGUACUGACGGUACUGUAUGAAUAAGGACCGCUAACUCCGUGCCAGCAGCC
rnacentral:rRNA from 1 species